AUUGAACGUUGGCGGCAGGCUUAACACAUGCAAGUCGAGCGGGGUGAUGGUGCUUGCACUAUCACUUAGCGGCGGACGGGUGAGUAAUGCUUAGGAAUCUGCCUAUUAGUGGGGGACAACAUCUCGAAAGGGAUGCUAAUACCGCAUACGUCCUACGGGAGAAAGCAGGGGAUCACUUGUGACCUUGCGCUAAUAGAUGAGCCUAAGUCGGAUUAGCUAGUUGGUGGGGUAAAGGCCUACCAAGGCGACGAUCUGUAGCGGGUCUGAGAGGAUGAUCCGCCACACUGGGACUGGGACACGGCCCAGACUCCUCCGGGAGGCAGCAGUGGGGAAUAUUGGACAAUGGGGGGAACCCUGAUCCAGCCAUGCCGCGUGUGUGAAGAAGGCCUUAUGGUUGUAAAGCACUUUAAGCGAGGAGGAGGCUCUUUUGGUUAAUACCCAAGAUGAGUGGACGUUACUCGCAGAAUAAGCACCGGCUAACUCUGUGCCAGCCGCCGCCGUAA
rnacentral:rRNA from 1 species